rnacentral:rRNA from 1 species
CACGAAGUUAGCCGGGGCUUCUUCUCCGGAUACCGUCAUUAUCUUCUCCGGUGAAAGAGCUUUACAACCCUAAGGCCUUCAUCACUCACGCGGCAUGGCUGGAUCAGGCUUGCGCCCAUUGUCCAAUAUUCCCCA